rnacentral:lncRNA from 1 species
CCAGAUGUUGACAAGAAAGCUGAUGAAUUUAUAGCCAAAUUUAGAGAGCAGAUUAGGCUUCAGAGAAUUGAAUCAAUCAGAAGAUCAGCAGGACAACCUGCUAGAAACCUUGUAAGAUAACCUUGUUCUAUUUAAUGUGAUCAAAUUCACCUUAUUUAGUUAUAUGGUUGGCAAUUUCAUAAAGGCAGGAAAACCUGCUAGAAACAUUGUAAGAUAACCUUGUUCUAUUUAAGGUGAUCAAAUUCACCUUAUUUAGUUCUAUGGUUGACAGUUUCAUAAGAGAAGUUUUCUUUUUCAGUUUCACAAUAUAUACAUCCUGAGUUUUCUGGUGUAUAGAUAUUUUAUUGUAAUUAUAAUGUAAUUACCACUGCUUCCUGUAACUUAUUUAAUGUCAUGGGUUGUAUUCCAUACACGCCCCAUGACCUCUGGGUAGCGCCCCAUGGCGACCUAGCAAGCCUCUCAAUGCGUAGCGCCAUGGUCGGCCCCGUGGUCUUGGCUGCGCCAAGUGACAAGUGCCCAUGCGCCUCUGUCGCCCCAUCGAGGCAUCUCACCACCGCCCAGCGGCUGUCCAAUGACAACAGCGCCUCGCGCAUUGACAAUGCUGCGCGCGCAAACCCUGAUGCCUUGCCGCCGCCAGGCCCCUUCCAGCAGCACUUCGCGCACAGAUCCUGAUGUCAAGCUCCAACGCCCAGCCUCAGGCAAACACAACAAGUGUCGCACGCGCCCACAACACUACGCCCGCAGACCCUGACCCGCAAGACAAAGUUGCGGCCAUCAGACUUGGUUUGUACAUUGUAAUAAACUAAGUCCUCUUUCA